rnacentral:rRNA from 1 species
CUACGGAGGCUGCAGUGGGGAAUAUUGGACAAUGGGCGAAAGCCUGAUCCAGCCAUGCCGCGUGUGUGAAGAAGGCCUUCGGGUUGUAAAGCACUUUCAGUGGGGAAGAAAGCCUUGGGGCUAAUACCCUCGAGGAAGGACAUCACCCACAGAAGAAGCACCGGCUAACUCCGUGCCAGCAGCCGCGGUAAUACGGAGGGUGCGAGCGUUAAUCGGAAUUACUGGGCGUAAAGCGCGCGUAGGCGGUCUGAUAAGCCGGUUGUGAAAGCCCCGGGCUCAACCUGGGAACGGCAUCCGGAACUGUCAGGCUAGAGUGCAGGAGAGGAAGGUAGAAUUCCCGGUGUAGCGGUGAAAUGCGUAGAGAUCGGGAGGAAUACCAGUGGCGAAGGCGGCCUUCUGGACUGACACUGACGCUGAGGUGCGAAAGCGUGGGUAGCAAACAGGAUUAGAUACCCCGGUAGUC